AGAUGUUGCAUCUUUCGAAGCCAUUUUCUCUGUUUUCGACUCUGUCCGUGCCAGUCUCCGCUUCCUGUCCACGUUUGUGAUGCUCGUGUCAUUCUCUUCCGCCCUGUCGUCCACGUGCGCGCUCAAGUGCUUUUCCAGAGAAAAACAGCGCCGCAUUUCGUGUCGAGACAGAUACCCUCGUCUCUUGUACUCGGUGUUCUUUGCGAACGCCCGGACCAUUUCUGGACUGGGGGCAGGCCUUCUCGGUGCAUCGUGUUCCACUUCACUCAACUGACUCAACUUCUCGAGCACACACUCUGCCGCAACAGAGGUUGGCGAUGACAAAUCGACAGUCGAAAAGACGCGCUGCCGCCCAUCGCUUUCCUCAGACCCCCAAGUCUUCGAGCCCGGUCGUCCUCGUGUUUUUUUCUCUCGCCGCGAAGGCGCGUUUGCUCUUUAGGUUCGCGCGGAAUACACGUCUGACCCCCAGCUAGCGUCUCGGUCUUGGACUCGGCUCUUUCCGACACACCAGACUUGGUGCCUCUCUGGUUCACCUCCAUACCGGCUGUUGCGUCAUCGACUCAAAGUCGCCACGCGCACUUUACAAACGCCCCUUUUUGUCCACAAGCCGAUUUCGUUCACACGUCUUCCUCCCGCGUACACUGUCCGGGUGGUACGGCAUCGUCACCUCGCUCCGUAGAUUGCUUCAUUCAGUCUACGCGAAGGUACAUCGCACAUGCAUGUAUUGCCCCACGCGACGGAAUGUGGACGUGUAGAUACACCGCAGCACGAUAUCACGAGGUCUGUGCUUUGUUGUGUGGGCCGCUCACGGAACGGCAUAUCACGAGGUCUGUGCUUUGUUGUGUGGGCCGCUCACGGAACGGCGUUCGAGAUUUAUCAGACACUCGUUUUUUCUCUUCCCUGUAAGACAGCCCAUCCGUUCUUCCACUUGCUUCUCCGGCGCAGCUCCACGCACGCACGUGUGACCGUGCAGACCUGUCGCCGUCUUCCGAUUUGUGUAUCCUUGUUUUC
rnacentral:lncRNA from 1 species